rnacentral:lncRNA from 1 species
AUGUCACUGCUGAGCCUGUCCUGGCUGGGUCUCAGGUGAGUGGCAGCAUCCCCUUGACUGCUCCUGCUGGCUCCUGGUCUGGACCUACACUUUCUAUGACAACUGCUGGUAUCUCUAGUGUUUUCUGUAGCCUCUGAUUUGGAACUGGUUUGGAGGUCACCUGGGCCUGGUGACUGUAGCAGCAGGCUGGCUCUAAGGUCUCAGAGUCACCCCCACAGAGCAAGGCUUGAGGAUUCUGACUCAGCUGGUGGCCACCUUCACAUGAGGCUUUAUGAGGUGGACAGGUCUCAUCUUUCCUAUCAUCAGUUUGU